GCCAGGAGUCAGGGUGACUGCAACUCUCUGUUGUAAACUUAUUGGGUUAAGAGUUCUUUUAUGGUGAAUGAAAGGCUUGAUUCGACUAAGUAGGUCAUUGAAUCAAAUCGAAACAUUGACAACAAUGCUGCUGCCAGUUCUGCCGUUGUUUACCUUUUUCUUCUUCUUCUAGUCUCUAGAAA